rnacentral:rRNA from 1 species
AGUGAACGCUGGCGGUAGGCCUAACACAUGCAAGUUGAACGGCAGCACAGUAAGAGCUUGCUCUUACGGGUGGCGAGUGGCGGACGGGUGAGGAAUACAUCGGAAUCUACUUUUUCGUGGGGGAUAACGUAGGGAAACUUACGCUAAUACCGCAUACGACCUACGGGUGAAAGCAGGGGAUCUUCGGACCUUGCGCGAUUGAAUGAGCCGAUGUCGGAUUAGCUAGUUGGCGGGGUAAAGGCCCACCAAGGCGACGAUCCGUAGCUGGUCUGAGAGGAUGAUCAGCCACACUGGAACUGAGACACGGUCCAGACUCCUACGGGAGGCAGCAGUGGGGAAUAUUGGACAAUGGGCGCAAGCCUGAUCCAGCCAUACCACGUGGGUGAAGAAGGCCUUCGGGUUGUAAAGCCCUUUUGUUGGGAAAGAAAAGCAGCAGGUUAAUACCCCGCUGUUCUGACGGUACCCAAAGAAUAAGCACCGGCUAACUUCGUG